UGGAACUCUAGCACCCUGACCCCCUGC
rnacentral:piRNA from 1 species